UCUCCGUAGGUGAACCUGCGGAGGGAUCAUUACUGAGUGAGGGGCUCCGGCCCCAGACCUCCAACCCAUUGUUAUCCGACACUGUUGCCUCGGGGGCGACCCUGCCGUUUCGACGGCGAGCGCCCCCGGAGGCCUUCAAACACUGCAUCUUUGCGUCGGAGUUUAAGUAAAUUAAACAAAACUUUCAACAACGGAUCUCUUGGUUCUGGCAUCGAUGAAGAACGCAGC
rnacentral:misc_RNA from 1 species